CAUGCCCCAGCUCGUGUUGCAGACAUGGCUGCAGUGCCGUGUGUGUGUCAUUAGGUGGCAGAAAGGAACAGGCUUUGUCUUUGCUAGUGCUCCAAAACCUGUGAGCACUCAGGAAGGACGAGCAACCUGACAAU
rfam:Colius striatus contig46204, whole genome shotgun sequence.